UGGGGAAUAUUGGACAAUGGGCGAAAGCCUGAUCCAGCCAUGCCGCGUGUGUGAAGAAGGUCUUCGGAUUGUAAAGCACUUUAAGUUGGGAGGAAGGGCAGUUACCUAAUACGUGAUUGUUUUGACGUUACCGACAGAAUAAGCACCGGCUAACUCUGUGCCAGCAGCCGCGGUAAUACAGAGGGUGCAAGCGUUAAUCGGAAUUACUGGGCGUAAAGCGCGCGUAGGUGGUUAGUUAAGUUGGAUGUGAAAUCCCCGGGCUCAACCUGGGAACUGCAUUCAAAACUGACUGACUAGAGUAUGGUAGAGGGUGGUGGAAUUUCCUGUGUAGCGGUGAAAUGCGUAGAUAUAGGAAGGAACACCAGUGGCGAAGGCGACCACCUGGACUGAUACUGACACUGAGGCGCGAAAGCCAGGGGAGCAAACGGGAUUAGAUACCCGCGUAGUCCCUGAGCGGGCUGGCAAGGCGCAU
rnacentral:rRNA from 1 species